rnacentral:rRNA from 1 species
GAUCAGUGGCUACAGGACGAACGCUGGCGGCGUGCUUAACACAUGCAAGUCGAGCGAUGAAGCUUCUUCGGAAGUGGAUUAGCGGCGGACGGGUGAGUAACACGUGGGUAACCUGCCUCAGUAGAGGGGAAUAGCCUUCCGAAAGGAAGAUUAAUACCGCAUAAGAUUGUAAUAUCGCAUGAUAUAGCAAUUAAAGGAGUAAUCCGCUAUGAGAUGGACCCGCGUCGCAUUAGCUAGUUGGUGAGGUAACGGCUCACCAAGGCGACGAUGCGUAGCCGACCUGAGAGGGUGAUCGGCCACAUUGGGACUGAGACACGGCCCAGACUCCUACGGGAGGCAGCAGUGGGGAAUAUUGCACAAUGGGGGAAACCCUGAUGCAAGCAACGCCGCGUGAGUGAUGACGGUCUUCGGAUUGUAAAGCUCUGUCUUCAGGGACGAUAAUGACGGUACCUGAGGAGGAAGCCACGGCUAACUACGUGCCAGCCGCGGC